GCUGGAAUAGCUUAGUUGGUUAAAGCAUGUGGCUGUUAACCACAAGGUCGGAGGUUCAAGCCAUCCUUCUUCCUAGCG